AUUGAACGCUGGCGGCGUGCUUAACACAUGCAAGUCGAGCGGUAACAGGCGUAGCAAUACGUGCUGACGAGCGGCGAACGGGUGCGUAAUACAUGGGAAUCUGCCUUUUAGUGGGGAAUAACCCGGCGAAAGCCGGGCUAAUGCCGCAUAAGAUCUUCGGAUGAAAGCGGGGGAGUCGUAAGACCUCGCGCUGAAAGAAUGAGCCCACUGCC
rnacentral:rRNA from 1 species